GCGGCUCUCCGGGGUCCCUGCAGCUCUCCGGGGUCCCUGCAGCUCUCCGGGUCCCCGCGGCUCUCCGGGGUCCCUGCAGCUCUCCGGGGUCCCUGCAGCUUUCCGGGGUCCCUGCAGCUCUCCGGGUCCCUGCAGCUCUCCGGGUCCCCGCGGCUCUCCGGGUCCCCGCGGCUCACCGGGCCGGGGCGCCGGGGUCCUGCGCCCUGCGGGAGCCGGCCGGAGGGAGCCGCUCCAUGGCCUCCAACAGGCAGGAUGGAAGCGGCGUCCGCCUGCGCUGCCAAAAUCCUCAAGCACAGCCAGUGCGCUCGUGUUUCAUAACGCUCCCCUGCCCGGGGAAGCAGCCUCUCCUCUAAGGCUGCCUCUCAGCAGAGCUCUGCAGCCUUCUGCAGCUGCCGACGUUUCCAGACCUACCCAUUCCCUCUGCCUGGGUGUUUGUCCAAAGGCACGGAUGGCUGCAUCGACAGAGGGCUGAAUGGCAGCAGCAGCAGCAGCGAGAAGCCCUAAUGCGAUCAGCUGAACGGAUGCUCCCGUGUUUGUUUCUCGUGCCUCUUCCCACUAGGGGCACAUCCCUUCAGAGCUGCCCCUCUAGAGACCCGGACCCCUUCCCAAGAGGUCGAGAGGGUCCCGGGAAAGCAAGUCCCUGACAGCCUCCCAGCAUCAGCUAGGAGAUUUUGGGCAGAAAAUUGUUAUUCUGGGCACAGGUGGCUGGAAAUAAAUUAUUUAUAAAUGUGAGAGCUGAAAGGCA
rnacentral:lncRNA from 1 species